rnacentral:rRNA from 2 species
CAAGGCUUGACAUGGCAUUGAAUGAAUCAGAGAUGAAUUAGCUCUACGGAGCAAUGCACACAGGUGGUGCAUGGUUGUCGUCAGCUCGUGUCGUGGGAUGUUGGGUUAAGUCCCGCAACGAGCGCAACCCUUACGUCCAGUUGCCAGCGGGUAAAGCUGGGCAACACUGGAGGGACUGCCGUGGACAACACGGAGGAAGGUGGGGAUGACGUCAAAUCAUCAUGCCCCUUAUGUCUUGGGCUACAAACGUGCUACAAUGGGACCUACAGCGUGAAGCAAGGCAGUGAUGCGGAGCGAAACACGAAAAGGUCCCCCAGUUCGGAUUGCAGGCUGCAACCCGCCUGCAUGAAGUUGGAAUCGCUAGUAAUCGCGAAUCAGCAUGUCGCGGUGAAUACGUUCCCGGG